CACUGAUGAGGAAACUGAAAUACAGAAAAUCCAGAGUAAAUUCCACCAGGCCACACAGCGAGGUCUGAUAGAGCCAGGAGUGACUUUAUGAAAUCCAGACCCUCAGACUAAUGUUCUAUCAGCCAGACCUCCAUGUGAGCCCCACAAAUGAAAAUACCAUGAUAACCAAAGCUGCCGCAGUAAUAUAAACAGACUGAAUAGAGCAACUUCUCAGUUUGCUGUAACAGAGGGAGAAAAUGGCCCAGCUCAUUUACUCAGACACCAAAGAGACAUCUCAGCUCUAUAAAGUCAGCUCUGAAAACACAAAGGUUAAAAACUACGAUUUGUGGUUUAAGAUACAAGAAUGUUUUCUCUUCAGAUUGACUGGGAAGACUUUCUCUUCAGACGGACAGAACUUAUAAAAGUUUUUGAGACUGAGUACAUUCAUCUGAGCUGUUAGCUGCUACGCUCCACUGCAUCCUCGUAUGAUCUGCCUGGUCCAGACCCCUGGAGAAAAUUUGUGCAUGCAUACUGUAUGUGAACUUUAGAUAAAUAAAUAAACACGCGAAACAGCUCCCAGAUAAUUGAAAGUGAAUGAAGGAGGGAGCAAAAAGAAAACAAUUUCUCUGGGGAUAAGCAGCUAAGGUGGCAGGUAUGAUUAAAAUCCAUAUGAUUUAUGGGUAGGUGGAUUACUAACAUGACAACCCUGUUAGUGUUUGUUUGUUUUGGUGCAUUUGACAAUAAAGUUUUGUUGUUGUUGUUGUG